UUUAUCGUGAGGUAUGCACUGAAGGCAGCGAAACGGCAAAAGUCUGUACCGACGAACAGAAAUUGCAUAAGAGGCAUUUAGUAGGGGAUAAGCGUCCACAGCAACGUAAAGUCCGAAGUUUACAAAAACCUAUUAGAUGUAGAUGCAGCGGGAAUAGACGGAAGGAAAGAGUU
rfam:Flavobacterium fryxellicola strain DSM 16209 FBFR26, whole genome shotgun sequence.